GCCAGAGUGGCAGAGUGGUUUGAAUGUUGGACUAUGACUCUGGAACUAGGGUUCGAUUCCCAACUCAUUCA